rnacentral:tRNA from 1 species
UGGGCAUUAGCCAAGAGGUAAGGCAGAGGAUUUUGAUUCCUCCACGCAUACGUUCGAAUCGUAUAUGCCCAG